UACGAAGGGGGCUAGCGUUGUUCGGAAUCACUGGGCGUAAAGCGCGCGUAGGCGGGUCGUUAAGUCGGGGGUGAAAUCCCGAGGCUCAACCUCGGAACUGCCUUCGAUACUGGCGACCUUGAGUCCGGGAGAGGUGAGUGGAACUCCUAGUGUAGAGGUGAAAUUCGUAGAUAUUAGGAAGAACACCAGUGGCGAAGGCGGCUCACUGGCCCGGAACUGACGCUGAUGUGCGAAAGCGUGGGGAGCAAACAGG
rnacentral:rRNA from 1 species